GUCCCCUCCCUGCAGGUUCCUGUCUUUGAGAGGAGGCCCAGAGAUUACACUGAGAAUAAGUGCAAGGCAGUGGUGCUGCUGAGGAAGGAGAGCCCCGUGGUGGGGAAGAGACAAAGCUGUGAGUGCCCAUCCCCAAGCAGGUGCUGUCUCCAUCCCCUCUGUGCCAGGAUUUGUCCUUCCCAAAGCUUGGGCGGAUGGAGGAGGAGGCUGCGAGGAAGAGGAAGAUGCCUUGGGCCCCCCAGGCAGGCCCCGAGCUGAGGACGGAGAGCCCGGAGGACAAAUCCCCCGGCAGAACCUGGUGGGAGAGGCCGUUUUGAAGGGCUCCCCGGCACAGGAAGGCAGCGGGGAGGAAAAGGGCCAGAGAUCCCCCCGCAGGAGGGGCUCCAAGGCCAGCCCAGGGUGCUCUGAGGAGGAAAGAGCCAGCGUGUGCCGGGAAGGCAGCCAGAGCUUGAGGCAGAGCUCUGACCUGGUGGUCCCUGAGCAACCUCCCAGCAGGGAGAAGCCCUUCAAAUGCUUGGAAUGUGGGAAGAGCUUCAGGCAGAGCUCCAGCCUCCUCACC